GACGUAGGGCGCGAGCGUUGUCCGGAAUUAUUGGGCGUAAAGAGCUCGUAGGCGGUUUGUCGCGUCUGCUGUGAAAUCCCGAGGCUCAACCUCGGGCUUGCAGUGGGUACGGGCAGACUAGAGUGCGGUAGGGGAGACUGGAAUUCCUGGUGUAGCGGUGGAAUGCGCAGAUAUCAGGAGGAACACCGGUGGCGAAGGCGGGUCUCUGGGCCGAUACUGACGCUGAGGAGCGAAAGCGUGGGGAGCGAACAGG
rnacentral:rRNA from 1 species